rnacentral:lncRNA from 1 species
AUGCAACCCCACUUUGCUCUAAUACCAAACUUAGGGCACUAUUUAUAGAGUGAGAGAUAGGGUGUUAGGGUUGUGAUGUGGGUUAAAAGAGAAAAGAGUGGGGGCACAAGAGAGAGAGGCUUGGGCAGCACUAGAGUUUAGCGCAUGGAGUCUUUGAUGGGGUGUUUUGCGUAUAAGAAAUAAGAGAGGGCAUGGGAGGCAUGAAGAAUGUGGAAGAAAGAAAGAAAU